rnacentral:rRNA from 1 species
GAUGAACGCUGGCGGCGUGCCUAAUACAUGCAAGUCGAGCGAACGGACGAGAAGCUUGCCUCUCUGAUGUUAGCGGCGGACGGGUGAGUAACACGUGGAUAACCUACCUAUAAGACUGGGAUAAUUUCGGGAAACCGGAGCUAAUACCGGAUAAUAUUUUGAACCGCAUGGUUCAAAAGUGAAAGACGGUCUUGCUGUCACUUAUAGAUGGAUCCGCGCUGCAUUAGCUAGUUGGUAAGGUAACGGCUUACCAAGGCAACGAUGCAUAGCCGACCUGAGAGGGUGAUCGGCCACACUGGAACUGAGACACGGUCCAGACUCCUACGGGAGGCAGCAGUAGGGAAUCUUCCGCAAUGGGCGAAAGCCUGACGGAGCAACGCCGCGUGAGUAAUGAAGGUCUUCGGAUCGUAAAACUCUGUUAUUAGGGAAGAACAUAUGUGUAAGUAACUGUGCACAUCUUGACGGUACCUAAUCAGAAAGCCACGGCUAACUACGUG